rnacentral:rRNA from 1 species
GACGAACGCUGGCGGCGUGCUUAACACAUGCAAGUCGAGCGGAAAGGCCCUUCGGGGUACUCGAGCGGCGAACGGGUGAGUAACACGUGAGUAACCUGCCCCAGACUUUGGGAUAACCCUCGGAAACGGGGGCUAAUACCGGAUACGACACAGCUUCGCAUGGGGUCUGUGUGGAAAGUUUUUCGGUUUGGGAUGGGCUCGCGGCCUAUCAGCUUGUUGGUGGGGUGAUGGCCUACCAAGGCGACGACGGGUAGCCGGCCUGAGAGGGCGACCGGCCACACUGGGACUGAGAGACGGCCCAGACGCCUACGGGAGGCAGAAGUGGGGAAUAUUGCACAAUGGGCGGAAGCCUGAUGCAGCGACGCCGCGUGAGGGAUGACGGCCUUCGGGUUGUAAACCUCUUUCAGCAGGGACGAAGCGUAAGUGACGGUACCUGCAGAAGAAGCGCCGGCCAACUACGUG